AUUGAACGCUGGCGGCAGGCCUAACACAUGCAAGUCGAACGGUAACAGGAAGCAGCUUGCUGCUUUGCUGACGAGUGGCGGACGGGUGAGUAAUGUCUGGGAAACUGCCCGAUGGAGGGGGAUAACUACUGGAAACGGUAGCUAAUACCGCAUAACGUCGCAAGACCAAAGAGGGGGACCUUAGGGCCUCUUGCCAUCGGAUGUGCCCAGAUGGGAUUAGCUAGUAGGUGGGGUAACGGCUCACCUAGGCGACGAUCCCUAGCUGGUCUGAGAGGAUGACCAGCCACACUGGAACUGAGACACGGUCCAGACUCCUACGGGAGGCAGCAGUGGGGAAUAUUGCACAAUGGGCGCAAGCCUGAUGCAGCCAUGCCGCGUGUAUGAAGAAGGCCUUCGGGUUGUAAAGUACUUUCAGCGGGGGGAAGGGAGUAAAGUUAAUACCUUGGCUCAUUGACGUUACCCGCAGAAGAAGCACCGGCUAACUCCGUG
rnacentral:rRNA from 1 species